rnacentral:rRNA from 1 species
GGGAACUGAAACAUCUAAGUACCCGGAGGAAAGGACAUCAAUAGAGACUUCCCUAGUAGCGGCGAGCGAACGGGAACCAGCCGAGCCUGAUGAGUGACUAGAAUGUGUUGGGAAGCACAGCCAUAGCGGGUGACAGCCCCGUAUAGGAAGCUCUGAGGGACGUAUUAAGUAGGGCGGGACACGUGAAAUCCUGUUUGAAGAUCGGAGGACCACCUCCGAAGGCUAAGUACUCCUUACUGACCGAUAGCGAACCAGUACCGUGAGGGAAAGGUGAAAAGCACCCCGACGAGGGGAGUGAAACAGUACCUGAAACCGAACGCCUACAAUCAGUUGGAGGCCCCUUGAGGGCUGACAGCGUACCUUUUGUAUAAUGGGUCAUCGACUUGGUCUUACGAGCAAGCUUAAGCCGUUAGGUGUAGGCGCAGCGAAAGCGAGUCUUAAUAGGGCGCAUGAGUUCGUGGGAUCAGACCCGAAACCGAGUGAUCUAGGCAUGACCAGGAUGAAGGUGCGGUAACACGCACUGGAGGUCCGAACCCACACCUGUUGAAAAAGGUCGGGAUGAGUUGUGCCUAGGGGUGAAAGGCCAAUCAAACUCGGAGAUAGCUGGUUCUCUGCGAAAUCUAUUUAGGUAGAGCGUCAUCCGAAUACCCCGGGGGGUAGAGCACUGGAUGGGUAAUGGGGCCCCACAGGCUUACUGAUCCUAACCAAACUCCGAAUACCCGGGAGUACUAGAUGGCAGACACACCACGGAUGCUAACGUCCGUGGUGGAGAGGGAAACAACCCUGACCUCCAGCUAAGGCCCCUAAUUCAUGGCUAAGUGGGAAAGCAGGUGGGAUGUCCAAAACAACCAGGAGGUUGGCUUAGAAGCAGCCAUCCUUUAAAGAUAGCGUAACAGCUCACUGGUCUAAAUAAGACGUCCUGCGGCGAAGAUGUAACGGGGCUCAAGCCAUGAGCCGAAGCCGAGGAUGCACAUAGUGCAUGGUAGCAGAGCGUAGUGUG